rnacentral:snRNA from 1 species
AGCUUUGCGCAGUGGCAGUAUCGUAGCCAAUGAGGUUUAUCCGAGGCGCGAUUAUUGCUAAUUAAACAAAAAGCCCUUUGGAUUAAACUGGGAGCUGGAAGUAUGGUGGCUUUUCAUUGGCUAAGUUGUGACUGUCUCUGAUUGGC